rnacentral:rRNA from 1 species
UGACCUCAAAUCAGGUAGGACUACCCGCUGAACUUAAGCAUAUCAAUAAGCGGAGGAAAAGAAACUAACAAGGAUUCCCCUAGUAACUGCGAGUGAAGCGGGAAAAGCUCAAAUUUAAAAUCUGGCGGUCUUUGGCCGUCCGAGUUGUAAUCUAGAGAAGUGUUAUCCGCGCUGGACCGUGUACAAGUCUCCUGGAAUGGAGCGUCAUAGAGGGUGAGAAUCCCGUCUUUGACACGGACUGCCAGGGCUUUGUGAUGCGCUCUCAAAGAGUCGAGUUGUUUGGGAAUGCAGCUCAAAAUGGGUGGUAAAUUCCAUCUAAAGCUAAAUAUUGGCGAGAGACCGAUAGCGAACAAGUACCGUGAGGGAAAGAUGAAAAGAACUUUGGAAAGAGAGUUAAACAGUACGUGAAAUUGCUGAAAGGGAAACGCUUGAAGUCAGUCGCAUUGUGUGGGAAUCAACCUUGCUUUUGCUGGGCGUACUUUCCAUAUGAUGGGUCAGCAUCAAUUUUGACCGUUGGAUAAAGUUCAAGGGAAUGUGGCAUCUUCGGAUGUGUUAUAGCCUUUGGUCGCAUACAACGAUUGGGAUUGAGGAACUCAGCACGCCGAAAGGCCGGGUCUUGUACCACGUUCGUGCUUAGGAUGCUGGCAUAAUG